GACGAACGCUGGCGGCGUGCUUAACACAUGCAAGUCGAACGGAAAGGCCUGCUUUCCCUUGUGGAUUGCGGGUGCUCGAGUGGCGAACGGGUGAGUAACACGUGAGUGAUCUGCCCCCAACUUGGGUAUAAGCCUGGGAAACUGGGUCUAAUUCCCGAUAGGACUGCAGGGUGGUGCCUGCGGUGGAAAACGAUUUUCUAGUGGUUGGGGAUGAGCUCGCGGCCUAUCAGCUUGUUGGUGGGGUAAUGGCCUACCAAGGCGGCGACGGGUAGCCGGCCUGAGAGGGUGGACGGCCACAUUGGGACUGAGAUACGGCCCAGACUCCUACGGGAGGCAGCAGUGGGGAAUAUUGCACAAUGGGCGGAAGCCUGAUGCAGCGACGCCGCGUGGGGGAUGACGGGCUUCGGGUUGUAAACUCCUUUCGACCGCGAGGAAGCCACCUGGUUGGAAGGGUGGUGACGGUAGUGGUAGAAGAAGCACCGGCUAACUACGUG
rnacentral:rRNA from 1 species